rnacentral:ncRNA from 2 species
GUAGAUCGCUAGGGGUGCCUGAGUUUACCCAAGCCCCGGACCCUGGGGCCGGGGCUCGACAUCAGGCUGAGAUCACACCCUGGGACCUGAUCCGGGUAAUGCCGGCGUGGGAAAGCGAAUCCGUUCCGAU